AGACCCGAAACCCGGUGAUCUAGCCAUGGGCAGGUUGAAGGUUGGGUAACACUAACUGGAGGACCGAACCGACUAAUGUUGAAAAAUUAGCGGAUGACCUGUGGCUGGGGGUGAAAGGCCAAUCAAACCGGGAGAUAGCUGGUUCUCCCCGAAAGCUAUUUAGGUAGCGCCUCGUGAAUUCAUCUCCGGGGGUAGAGCACUGUUUCGGCUAGGGGGCCAUCCCGGCUUACCAACCCGAUGCAAACUGCGAAUACCGGAGAAUGUUAUCACGGGAGACACACGGCGGGUGCUAACGUCCGUCGUGAAGAGGGAAACAACCCAGACCGCCAGCUAAGGUCCCAAAGUCAUGGUUAAGUGGGAAACGAUGUGGGAAGGCCCAGACAGCCAGGAUGUUGGCUUAGAAGCAGCCAUCAUUUAAAGAAAGCGUAAUAGCUCACUGGUCGAGUCGGCCUGCGCGGAAGAUGUAACGGGGCUAAACCAUGCACCGAAGCUGCGGCAGCGACACUUUAGUGUUGUUGGGUAGGGGAGCGUUCUGUAAGCCGUUGAAGGUGUCCUGUGAGGGGUGCUGGAGGUAUCAGAAGUGCGAAUGCUGACAUAAGUAACGAUAAAGCGGGUGAAAAGCCCGCUCGCCGGAAGACCAAGGGUUCCUGUCCAACGUUAAUCGGGGCAGGGUGAGUCGACCCCUAAGGCGAGGCCGAAAGGCGUAGUCGAUGGGAAACGGGUUAAUAUUCCCGUACUUGGUGUUACUGCGAAGGGGGGACGGAGAAGGCUAUGUUGGCCGGGCGACGGUAGUCCCGGUUUAAGCGUGUAGGCUGGUUUUCCAGGCAAAUCCG
rnacentral:rRNA from 1 species